GAUGAACGCUGGCGGCGUGCCUAAUACAUGCAAGUCGAGCGAACAGACGAGGAGCUUGCUCCACUGACGUUAGCGGCGGACGGGUGAGUAACACGUGGAUAACCUACCUAUAAGACUGGGAUAACUUCGGGAAACCGGAGCUAAUACCGGAUAAUAUAUUGAACCGCAUGGUUCAAUAGUGAAAGACGGUUUUGCUGUCACUUAUAGAUGGAUCCGCGCCGCAUUAGCUAGUUGGUAAGGUAACGGCUUACCAAGGCAACGAUGCGUAGCCGACCUGAGAGGGUGAUCGGCCACACUGGAACUGAGACACGGUCCAGACUCCUACGGGAGGCAGCAGUAGGGAAUCUUCCGCAAUGGGCGAAAGCUUGACGGAGCAACGCCGCGUGAGUGAUGAAGGUCUUCGGAUCGUAAAACUCUGUUAUUAGGGAAGAACAAAUGUGUAAGUAACUAUGCACGUCUUGACGGUACCUAAUCAGAAAGCCACGGCUAACUACGU
rnacentral:rRNA from 1 species